AAAUAAAUAGGAUUCCCUCAGUAAUGGCGAAUGAACAGGGAUGAGCUCAGUGUGGAAAUUGGGGCCUGUGGCCUUGAAUUGUAGUCUGGAGAUGUACUACCAACUGGGGCGCAGAUGUAAGCCUCUUGGAAAAGAGCAUCAAUGAGGGUGAGAGUCCCGCUUGGCAUCUGCAGUCCCCAGUGCACGGUGUACCUUCUAAGAGUCACGUUCCUCGGGAUUGGAGCGCAAAUUGGGUGGUAAAUUUCAUCUAAAGCUAAAUAUAGUUUCGAGACCGAUAGCAAACAAGUACCAUGAGGGAAAGAUGAAAAGGACUUUGAAAAGAGAGUUAAAAGUGCCUGAAAUUGCUGAAAGGGAAGCGAAUGGAACCAGUGUAACUUGGUGAGAUUGCUGCGUGUCAAUGUGAUUGCUUGCUGCUUCAACGUAAGUGUGGUAGUAAGUCUUGAGCAGGGCAUGCGUGGUGUUUCUUGCCUUGUGUGUCACCUUCAAUUCAUAUUUGGGGAAAACUUCAGGGACAUGGUAGCCUGUCUCCGGGUGGGUGAACGUGUUUGCUGGAACUCAUUUGUGGAUUGCUUGGUGACUAAAUGGUUCCAUCCGACCCGUCUUGAAACACGGACCAAGGAGUCUAACAUAUGUGCAAGUUCACGGGUGUUAAACCUGCUUGCGUAAUGAAAGUGACUGCUGGGAUCUUUGCACCAGCAACCGACCAAUCAAUUGAGAGAGGUUUGAGUAUGAGCAUAUCUGUUAGGACCCGAAAGAUGGUGAACUAUGCCUGUGAAGGGCAAAGUCAGGGGAAACUCUGAUGGAGGCUCGUAGCGAUACUGACGUGCAAAUCGUUCGUCAUACAUGGGUAUAGGGGCGAAAGACUAAUCGAACCAUCUAGUAGCUGGUUCCCUCCGAAG
rnacentral:rRNA from 1 species